UACGAAGGGGGCUAGCGUUGUUCGGAAUUACUGGGCGUAAAGCGCGCGUAGGCGGUUUUGCAAGCCAGAGGUGAAAUGCCUGAGCUCAACUUAGGAAUUGCCUUUGGGACUGCGAGGCUUUGAGGACUGGAGAGGUGAGUGGAAUUCCCAGUGUAGAGGUGAAAUUCGGUAAGAUAUUGGGAAGAACACCGGUGGGCGAAGGCGGCUCACUGGCCAGUUUCUGACGCUGCAAGCGCGGAAAGCGUGGGGAUCAAA
rnacentral:rRNA from 1 species